AGGGCACCACCAGGAGUGGAGUCUGCGGCUUAAUUUGACUCAACACGGGGAAACUUACCCGGCCUGGACACUGGAAGGAUUGACAGAUUGAGAGCUCUUUCUUGAUUCAGUGGGUGGUGGUGCAUGGCCGUUCUUAGUUGGUGGAGCGAUUUGUCUGGUUAAUUCCGAUAACGAACGAGACUCUAGCCUAUUAAAUAGGCUCUCGGCUUUUAAACGCCAGGAGGACUUCUUAGAGGGACAGGUGGCGGUUCAGCCGCACGAAAGAGAGCAAUAACAGGUCUGUGAUGCCCUUUGUUGUCCGGGGCCGCACGCGCGCUACACUGAAGAGAUCAGCGUGCUUUACGUUCCUGCUCCGACCGGAGUGGGGAACCCAGUGAACCUUCUUCGUGAUUGGGAUAGAAGAUUGUAAUUAUUCUUCUUGAACGAGGAAUUCCCAGUAAAUGCGAGUCAUAAGCUCGCGUUGAUUACGUCCCUGCCCUUUGUACACACCGCCCGUCGCUACUACCGAUUGAACGAUUU
rnacentral:rRNA from 1 species